rnacentral:misc_RNA from 1 species
GAUGAAGAACGUAGCGAAAUGCGAUACUUGGUGUGAAUUGCAGAAUCCCGUGAACCAUCGAGUCUUUGAACGCAAGUUGCGCCCGAAGCCAUUAGGCCGAGGGCACGCCUGCCUGGGCGUCACACGUCGUUGCCCCCCCAUCUACUCCUUCGGGAUUGCGGGGGGCGGAUGAUGGCCCCUCGUGCGCCUCGUCGCGCGGUUGGCCUAAAUGCCAAGUCCUCGGCGACGCACGCCACGACAAUCGGUGGUUGCGAAACCUCGGUUGCCUGUCGUGUGCGGUCGUCGCGCAUCGAGGGCUCGAAAAAAUUGCCGGGCUUCGGCUCGACUUUCAACGCGACCCCAGGUCAGGCGGGGUUACCCGCUGAAUUUAAGCAUAUCAAUAAGCGGAGGA